rnacentral:piRNA from 1 species
AUUGAUGAGUUGGGAAAUGGACUGCC